rnacentral:rRNA from 1 species
UGGGGAAUAUUGCACAAUGGGGGAAACCCUGAUGCAGCGACGCCGCGUGAGCGAAGAAGUAUUUCGGUAUGUAAAGCUCUAUCAGCAGGGAAGAAAUUGACGGUACCUGACUAAGAAGCACCGGCUAAAUACGUGCCAGCAGCCGCGGUAAUACGUAUGGUGCAAGCGUUAUCCGGAUUUACUGGGUGUAAAGGGAGCGUAGACGGAGCAGCAAGUCUGGAGUGAAAACCCGGGGCUCAACCCCGGGACUGCUUUGGAAACUGUUGUUCUAGAGUGCUGGAGAGGUAAGUGGAAUUCCUAGUGUAGCGGUGAAAUGCGUAGAUAUUAGGAGGAACACCAGUGGCGAAGGCGGCUUACUGGACAGUAACUGACGUUGAGGCUCGAAAGCGUGGGGAGCAAACAGG